rnacentral:rRNA from 1 species
UACGUAGGGGGCAAGCGUUGUCCGGAUUUAUUGGGCGUAAAGAGCUCGUAGGCGGCUUGUCGCGUCGUCCGUGAAAACCUGGGGCUCAACUCCAGGCUUGCGGUCGAUACGGGCAGGCUCGAGUUCGGUAGGGGAGACUGGAAUUCCCGGUGUAGUGGUGAAAUGCGUAGAUAUCGGGAGGACACCAGUGGCGAAGGCGGCUACCUGGCCCACUCUUGACGCUGA